rnacentral:lncRNA from 1 species
UUGCACCACUGCACUCCAGCCUGGGCGAUACAGUGAGACCCAGUCUCAAAAAAAAAAAAAAAAGAGUCUUUUUUGAUGGUGGACAUCUUCCAAUGAGCAUUCACAUGGGACAGAUUUUUUUUUAGUUCUACCGUUGUUCUGAAAGCUCUAUGUAUGUUCCUCUUCCCUAAAAAUCUUUGUCACCAAGCCUCCAGAUUUAUUCCUUCUAAAAUGUUGAAAUUCCAGCUAAUUCCUUAGUUGUUACCCAGGAAACAAUGCAGAUCCUGGUCCGAGGAUGCAGCUCCUUCCAGGCAGCCUGGACUGUGAGGUGUGCUCCAUUGCUCUUCAGGAACCGUCCUUGAGAGGCGUUCCACAGCAGGCCAGACCUGGGGGGAGCAGGUGGGCCAGGCGGAAAGCACAGCACAAUUUGAGAGAUGCUGAGUACUCAUGACUCUGUGUAAGCACCUGAAUUCAGCCCUCAUGGUCUUUUCUGAGCUGUCAGUCAUUUAUCUCUAUUUAGUCAUUUUGCGAAUUGGAGUUAGCUUCCUUCCCUCUACACUCAAAGACGGCAUGUCAACAUUUUAGGCCUCUGGGUGGAAUGAACUCCCAGUUUCCUGGGAGGGAGCUGAUUGGCAUCUAUUCGCCUCUUCCUAGUUUUGUGGGGUUUCCCAGCAUGUGGAGUCAUAGAGAAAGACUGGUCCCACCUUCUAUGUAAUGCCCAAGAGAAUAGAUGACUCUCUGUCCACCCCCACCCUGGCAUCCAGGGCUUCUGGACAAGACCUAGGCUGGCUAAUUGGCUGCUUCCACAUGGGAUCCUGAAUCUGGAGCAAGUGAGGCAAAGCCCAGGGUGCUUAGAAUCCAUUCUCAGUGAGAGCAGCAGGACUGCCCGGGAGGGGAAUAGAGACGGGGACGACCGAGUCCUGCACCAGCAGAGAUGACGUCCGCAGGUGGCGGGGCAGCGCUGUGGCCGUGUCACUCCUCACAAAGCAGGGCUCUUGUGCUCGCAGCCUUCGAUACCGUCUCACUGUCUUGGCUUCUAUUUAUCUUCCAAGCCAAUUUCCAGCCUCCUACACACGUGGGGUUCUUCUGGUAUCAUUCCAGUGAAUUUCAUGUUGUUUUCUGCCCUAAGAAAACAGAGUUGGUACCUCUGCUCGACCAAGAAGCCUGAUUGAUACAGACUGAGAGCUGCAGGCUGUGUUUAUUUGCUUCAUUAACAAGAACAACUUAGGAAUGGCAACUUCCAUUGAUGAGCUUCCUACUUUGUUCUGCGGUUGGAAAACAAACAGUUGUUUCCCUGUUGACGACUGGCCACACUGGAGAGGUGAACAGUUCACUCUCAAGGCCAUACUGACUUGAACACUGGCUGUCUAGAAACAGAGAGGCAGGCAGCGGCAGACAGGAAGAGAGAUGGAGCAGAGUCCUCCAGCGGGAGCUGCACCUCGGAAGCAUCCUUAGAUGCGGCUUGGAGUUGGGAUCCUUCAAUUCCCCUCAGGAGAGUCAGCCAAAAAUAUCAACAGCCACAAUUUAUUGGACGCCUUCAGGAGAAAUGUCAAAGGCCUUUGUCCAAAGUGAGUGGUCCUGCUUCAUGUCCCAGCAUUCCUUGUCCCCUUUCCACAAGCUGAGAGCAGGUGCUCCCCAGAAUGAGGGGGGUGAGAAGGGUUCACUAUUGCUCUGUCCACCUCUCAACACAAAACAUGAUUCUACCUGUACCAAUUAUCCUGAGGCUUUGUGGUCUGCAACCAACCCUUUGGUGCCAAUUUUUCUAUUAGGUAGGACCCUUUGGAUGCAAGUAGAACAUAGCAAAGCAAAACCAAGACAAAAGCAAAUGCAAAAACAAAAACAAAUGAAAAAUCUUAAAAAAUCUUCCCGCUACCUCAAGAGUGGAGGCAUAUAUUUGAAUGAUCCAGAGAGAAAGCUCACAGAAUUAAAGAAAUCCUUGGGUGGGUGGGCGUGCGUGCACAUUUUUUAAAAACAGGCUUAGGGAAGACCAGGGACCCAGAAAGCCUCAGGGCUCUCAGCGGUAGGGAACGAGCUACACUCAAGGCCUCAGCUCCACUGCCUGCUGCCUCCAAGGGUUUUCUUUCAGGUCCUCCAAUUUCCAGGGGAGAGACUCAGAUGGGUCCCGGGGGCUAGAGGACAGAGUAAAGAAGGCACUGUCACACCAGGGGGAUGUGAGCUGAGCAGGCAGGCCCCCUAACCUGGGCCUUUUCGGAAGCCCCCUCCUCAUCCCCGUGGGAGCAGUGGGGGAAAGGGGCCUCUGCCCCCUGCCCACCUCCCUUACUAGUGUCUCCCUAGCUGCUCCCUGCAGAGCCUAGGCUCUGCAGUCAUGGGGUCCGCAUUGUCCUGGUGGGUGGAGUGCCUGAGCCUCAAAAGCCCCACCUGUGCUUUUCACUCCCUACUGCAUGAUUGAGAAGCAGACCUACUUCGCGAUUGAGAAGCAGAUUAAGGCUUUCCCCUUCCCCAUCAAGGUAUCUUUUUUUCUUCCUUCUUUCUUCCUCAGACCCCAUCUGGUGUCCCUUCUCUCCUCCUCUCCCGCUCCAUUCACCUGCCCUCUGUCUCAGGUCUCUCUACCAGCGUCUGGCAGCUGGGGAGGCUGGUGGGCUGCCCUGGUCCCAUGGCUGAUUGGAAAAAUCCUGUGGCUCCAGGGAGCCGGCUUUUUAGAUGCUGGUGGGGAGGAGCCUCACCUCGCUUCCAGGCCUGCGUUUCACCCCAGGACUCAUUAGGAGAAUUUCUGCACCAGGGUUAGAAGAGAAUUCAUCGCAUGUUUUCCCUACUGUAAUAAGCGAGACCCUUCUUUCUUUCCUUGUGCCUGGCGACCACAGCAGGAAGGCAGGAAGGUGCCUGCAGAUUCCCAGGAACAAAGCUGCUCCCAGAACCCUCACAUAGUAGGGUGACUCUUAGGAUAAGAAAUGUAUAUCCACGGGCUAGGAUUUGGGAACCAAGGGACGACGUGGCAAUCCAGGGCUCGUAGUGAGGGUGCAGCAGCCAGGACUGGGGCAAAGACAGAUGUCUGAUGAUUGUAAAAUGAGAUGAUUUCUAUUCAGUUCAGUUCUAUGUGAGGCUGUACUCAAAAGAGGUGAUGUUGUUAUUCAGGCUUCCUAAUCUUUGGUGAGUAAAACAAUUGUUGAUUCCCACAGCUUGUUUUCUUCUUGCCAGCUUUCUCCCAUCGUGUGAUAGACCAAAACCUUGAACUGGAAAAUCUCUGUGGUGUUCUACAAGAGCUAGGGACCCUUAGGUGUGAGAUUUGGAGACUUUCAAUGGUUAGACUUGGCCUAAGCAGCAAUAGAUCAGUCACCCCAAAUUCUCUCCUUUGUCUUCUUUUAAUGUCGUCCUCCAUCAAGGAAGGAACCAGAUUGGGGCCAACCUUUCAGACGGAUGUCCAUGGGAUGCUCGAGCUGCCUUUCCCCAACAAGUGGUGUCAACAGGGAUCUGGAGAGGUCGUGUGCUGGCCUCCAGGGGGUACCCCAGGGAACGGUGGGAUGUGAGAGUGACAGACCAGGAGGAUGGGGGCCUUUAUCAGUCAAGUGCUGUUCUGUCCCCACCAUCCUUUAGCUGGUGAAUAAUCUCAGGGGGAUUAUUAAAAGCCCAGAAGCAAAGAAGCAUUUGAAAGGUCCGUAUCUAGGAGUCUGGUUUCUCAGAGGAUCAGGGAGGGAUAAGAUUGGCUAAAAGACAGAUUUGGGACUUACUAUCAGAAAAGAAUCACUAGGAAAAUCUAAUAUUGGUACAUGGAAAAGCAACAUGUGGAUUGAAUGAUGGGAUUUCCUGUGAAGAAAAGGUAAGGCAUGCAAGCCAGACAGGACAGAAUGAUGGGCGAAAAUCAAGCCACGCACCUCAAACUCCUCUCGAGCUGAGAUCCAGAAAGACAGGGGCAUGGAAUUGCUGCUGGGUCUGGCAGGGGGCAAGAGCCAAACAGAUGAAGGGUACAUGUGACUGCCAUUCAGGGCCACGAUAGAGGAAAUGAUCAGAAGUCACUUUCUAGAGGCUGUAGAUGGGAGUUUGAUAAGGACCAUGGGGGACAGCUGAGAUCUGGGCAGAUUUGAGAAGGGAGAGCAGAACAGACUGCGUCAAAAGUGGAUCCGUGAGUUUCCUGGCGACCCAGGUAUAGAAGGGAUGCAGGAGUGGCCUGUACUUUCAGAAGCACAUGCAGGAGGAUGCUGGUCUGGGACUGGAGAUGAAAGAGGUCCAGAGAAAAUGGGACACGCUCAGACAGGGGAGCUGUGGGUGGAGUUCAGGACAAAGUCUGAUGUAAGGCUCAUGGAAGACCUUCCUGAAGGAAUUGCCCCUCUCCAGGAAGUAAGGAGGGUGGAUUUGUUUCCACAGUGGGAAUUCCUGGCAGGUCCAGAACUUCUUGACUUUCUGUCUCUCAAUACUGUAGACCUGCAAGAUGGAUAACAGAGGCAUUAGGGAAACUGAUGCCUACGCCACAAAGUUUAAAUACAGCACAAGGAAAGAAGCUACUUUGAUCCAGAAAACACUGCUAACCCCAUCCAAGACUGAGAUGGAGCAGGGCCCUAUGGGGUGAGAUAAGCGUCUGAGGAGCAGGCUGCAGGGAGGAAUGUUCCAGCUGCCACUGAAGCAACACACGAGGCUGAGGCUUGAAAGCUCAAAGGCCGAGGGAGCCGUAGCUUUGGGAAGGAGCAGCUGAUGGGGACGAUGGGUCACCUAAGCCGAGCUGUACCCUCGUCUGCUCCACCUCGAGUUUGAAUUCAACAAGUCUAUUGCUCCAGUGUUUUCUGAAUUAUCUGCAUAUUCAGAAUUCAGCCUGCGGAGCCUCAGCUCUUCUGAAUAUUUAAAUGACGCUCAGUUGCGAUCUGCAUCUCUCAUCAUGGUGUCUGACCCAAAGAUCACAAAGCUGAAGUCUAGCAAAUGACAGGAAGAACUAAGAGAAAGUGCUGCUGCAAAAAGAGUUUAAUGAGAGGGAAACUGAGGCUCUGAGAGAGGAGUGACUUGUCCAGGGUCCUGUGAUGGGAGACUGAGCAGAAACUUUGCGAUUGGCCGGGCGCGGUGGCUCAUGGCUG